GCACAGCCCUUGUCCAGGUGCUCCUAUCGCCUGCUGCUGGUGAGUAGGAACCCCACAGGCCUCCCCCCAGAGUGGCCCCAAGUGCAAGCAAAAGGGACAGAUUUUGGAGGAAAACUGUGGUCAGGCAGAGGCAGGCAGGGAGGUGGAGAAGGCAGCGCUGAGCAGAUGGACCAGGCGGUGAAGUGACAAGGCAUUUCCAGGUCUCAGGCAGCAAACCUGGGACAAGGUCUUCAUGCAGAAUUCACAGAUUCAUUGGAAUCUGACAGGGCUGCACCACGAGCACUUCUCCAGUGGGGUUCCUGUCAGAGCACGCAUUGGCUGUUGGGGCCUACCCCUACACAUGGGGUUGUCAGGGCUUGAGAUCAGCACUGACUGCAUUUCUGGGUCUAGGUCGGGCGCAGAAAAAAACUCGACAGAGUAUUGAUGUGCUGUAAUUGUCUUUGAAACCCUUGCUGGUGGGGUGGAUAAGAGAUGCAUCCUGUCAUACAAUCUCGAACUGUACCAGUGUACAAUAUGACACUCAUUUUGACAGACUAUCUUCCUUGUUUCCUGGGAUUCCUAAGACUUAUUAACAAAUUGCUACCCAGCAAGCAAGACAGUGACAUGUCAAAGAGCAUAGUAGGAUAUCUCCUUCUGUUUGUGCCCUCUGAUCUGAGCUCUGUAUCUUUGGGCAGCUUAUACUACAUGUAGGUACCGUAUCGUUCCAAGUUGUAAAAUAGUUGUUGUGAUACUUUUCUACCUUUGGUUGUUGUGGUGUUUGAAUUGUUUCAAGAAUACAUCCUCUCAUAAAAGGUUCCAUAAAAAUGGAAAGUGUUAAUCACAGCUUUCUGGAGUGCCUCUUCUUACGAAGAGCUGCAGACACUACAAACAGUAUUUGCGUUGGUUAAGGAGUGCCUCAUCAACAUCUUACAGACAAAAAGAAGUGUACAGUAAAUACUAGUUUGUGAGGAAUUUACAAUUACAAACUGCGCAUCUGUCUGAUGUUUCUUUCCAUUAGUGGUUAUUGUUUUAUUGGCAAACUUCUAUUAAGAGAAAUCUUCAUCUCAAAUUCUCAGACUAAUGCAUUUCAUGGAAG